CCAGCAAGAGAGUAGUAGCAGCAGGAGCAGUAGCGAGUAGGGUAGCUGCGUAGUUGAUUACCCGCUUGAGAGAAAGGCUGAAUAAACCUUUUGAAACUGCACCUCUCUGUCGACUCCACUCCUUUGUUUUCUGGGGACACCCUAAGACUGCAGGUGCAGGAAUAAUUACCAGUGAGAGGCUGAAUUAACAAGAAUUUCUGCCCUUGGCAUAUGUCAAUAGACCGCCACAGACAAUUACAACUCCUGCCAAAAUCCACAGUUGAAGAGGUAGCUUGGAACAGAGCACUGAACUUGGAAUCAGGAAGAUCAGGGUUCAAAUCUCACUGAAUACACUUAUU